AAUAUAAUUCUAACACUGUUAUAUGGUGGAAAUGAGGUUAGAUUCCUCUACUGUGCCGCAACGGUAAUAUCAUUUUGUGAUUAGUCCGGUCUUCAUUUAACAGAGCUUCCGAGCAGGAGAACCCUCUUUUU
rnacentral:sRNA from 2 species